rnacentral:rRNA from 1 species
CUACGGGUCGCACCAGUUAGGCAUAAUCUACAAUGUACGCAAGUAUGAUAGUUUGAAUCAGAGUGCUUUGCUUUGCAAAGCUUUUGUGAAAUCUAAAAAGUUUUACGAAUAAGGACUGGGUAAGACGAGUGCCAGCCGCCGCGGUAAUACUCGCGGUCCAAGUCGCAGCCAUUUUUAUUGGGUCUAAAACAUCCGUAGCUUGCUUGGUAAGUUCCUUGUGAAAUCCUAUAUCUCAAGUAUGGGGCGCGCAAGGAGUACUGCUAAGCUAGAGACUGGGAGACGUAACGAGUACGUUUGAGGUAGCGGUAAAAUGUGUUAAUCUUAGACGGACUAACAAUAGCGAAGGCACGUUACGAGAACAGUUCUGACAGUAAGGGAUGAAGGCCAGGGGCGCAAAACGGAUUAGAUACCCGCGUAGUC